UUGUACUGGCCAACCUAAUACAGUAAUAGGUCCUAUUCCUGCACAUCUCCAGGCCACAGCUUGAUCCGUUAACGAGGUUUAAUAUAAAGAUUUUCUUUGCUCUGAUUGGCUGAUAAUUCACUGCUGAGACAGAAUCCACUUCGAAUUGGAUGCGCAGUAAAAUAAUAGGGAUGUACUUAGGUAGUAAGAAAAGCGUGCAAGAGUAGGUCUCAUUACUGCAUAUACUUUAUAUGAAAACAAUGUUUGCCAGAAGGAUUUUCUGUGAUUCGAGUUUAAGGCCCAACAUUUUGCAAAGAAUGUGUUUUUACUCUUUUAGUAUCACUUCCUGUAAUUUUUAAAAGUUCUAUGCAAAUCAGAUACCUGAAGUGAAUAUUUGGGUUAAGCAUGCAAAUUAGAACAACUACAGGGCAGAUAAACAUGAGGUGGAAAUUGAAAAGCACAAAAAUGAGGAAAGAAAGUGGAGAAGUAAUAGAAAAACUAAAGAAAGGAACAGAGAAGUGCAACAACAACUAUAAUAUAAUAGGAUAAUAAACUCAAGAUUCAAUCAAAUGUAUAAGCUUUUAACAAAAUAC